rnacentral:rRNA from 1 species
UACAGAGGGUGCGAGCGUUGUUCGGAAUUACUGGGCGUAAAGCGCGCGCAGGCGGCUCUUUAAGUCUGACGGUGAAAUGCCGGGGCUCAACCCCGUGCCUGCCGGAGAUACUGGGGAGCUGGAGACGAGUAGAGGCAAGCGGAAUUCCGGGUGUAGCGGUGGAAUGCGUAGAGAUCCGGAAGAACACCGGUGGCGAAGGCGGUCUGCUGGGGUAAUGCUGACACUGAUGCGCGACAGCGUGGGGAGCAAACAGG